ensembl:lncRNA
UUUUCAGUUUAAUGUCACUGGUGUCUGGUACCGUGCGCAGACAUGGAGAGCUUGUACAAGCGGAAAAUGUUCGCUUCGAUGCGGAAAACCAAGGUGGACGCAUCGAAGAAACGGCAAAUCGGCCUGCCCGCUUCGGUCCUGGACGACACUGACGAAGGCUCCUUCUCCUCUUCCUCCUCCGGAUCCCAAUCCGACUUCCAGAGCUCCCCGGAGGAAGACAGCGAGCAGGAAGACCGUGGCCGGAGCGAUUCCGGGGCGACUUCAAGCGAUGACAGCCGCUCCGUGACCCGCAGAAAGCGCUCGUUCCUGGGAGACGACAACAGCUCCUCGUCCUCCAGUCCCGGGGAGGAGGACACAACUAAUGAUGAGGAGUGUGACAGGAGCCAACCGAAGAGAAUGGUGCCGCCUAAGAAGCGGACUAGGCUGCAGCGGCAGGACGAGUCGGACUCGGACCAUGCGGAGGAGAAGCAGAGAGAGGAGGAGGAGAAGGCGAAGAGGAGACAGAGACACAACAAGCUGCUGGCACUGUCACGGAGGAUGAAGGCCCGGGUCCCGAGUCGGAGGAGGAGCCGCCUAAAGCAGGGUGCAGGCGAUGAGGAAGAGUUCAAAGAAGGGGAGGAUGAGGCUGGUGGUGAUGGAGGUGGAAGAGAAAAUGGCAACAAUAAACAGGCUGCAGCAGGUGAUGAAGGAGGCAGAGAGGAGGAAAAUGACACGGAAGAAGAAGAAGAAGAAGAGGAAGAGGAAGAAGAGGAAGAGGAAGACAAGGGGAAGAAGUAGAUCCACUACAUGAUAGAGAACAGAGAAGGGGUUUGAAUGUUAAGAACUAAACCAUCUGAAAAUGACUCAUUACUGUUAGUUUGUACAGUUUUUCUUUCUCCUGCAUCAUUUAAAGUGGAAAACAAAAACACCAAGUACUGGAGUUACAUGUUUUCACUGUCAUAUUUUGUUGCUAUAGAAACAGACAUUGGCAACAUGUAACAAAAUAGAUGUGCAGAUGAUUUGGACAGCCUAAUGGGCCUGUUAUGAAAUGUAUUUUGUGAAGGAAGAAGCUGAGAAAAGUGGCUCAUGAAUAUGUCACUCCUGCUUCAGUAUCAUAUGAUAAUUAUAUUAUUGCUCAUCUACUGACGUAUGUCAUGUCAGUUUUCUUUUUAUAUCCCAAAGCCAGAUGUUGAUGCCAGAUUAACAGACACCCAUGUUCCAUUGACAGGUGUGACUAAACACCGGCAGGUAUAAUGUAAGGCUGCUGAUAAUGUGAACUUUCUACCACAGUUUUCAAAACCACGAGAACAACAACAAAUUGACAAAUGGUUUUGUCACACUACUUCUCCCAAAGACAAUAAUUAACUUUCACGCUCAAACGAAUGACAUACUGUUUAUAACAUGCAUAUGCCAAUAGAUCAGCAGCAGCAUACCAAUAAUCAUCAGUGGCAUACCCCUCAGGAUGGCAGAUGCCAUCAUCCACUUUUUGAUGUCAGGGCUGAUUUGAGAAGACAUUCCUCCACAGAGGCUUUACAUUUAGCGCAUCUUGUGUUACUGCUGGAGGAAGGUACCGCAGCUCAGUACACAUGCUGAGGACACUGGGCUGAAGAAAUGUUCCUUUUAUUUUAUUUAAGUCAAAGAGAGCAUUGCUAUCAGAAACAUCUAAUCAGAAGGCUUCAAGCUCUUGUUUAGUUCUUGACUGCAGUGACAAGCGAUCUGAAUAUGAUUCUGAUUUCACAGGUGUGGAUGGAGAAUGGCUGCUGAGGCUUCUGGGUACUGCAGUCUUCAGAGACAUUCAAUAUACCCAGCAGACAGUUCUCAUAUUCUUCUUCUUUUUUUGUUGUUGUUAAAACGAGAUUAAUUCGCAUUCUGUUCCUGCAAUGCAGACUUUAAAAAAAUAUAUAAUUUGUGAUGAAUCCACUGAACCGCCUUGCCUAUAGCAGAUGAUUUAGACUGAAUAAUUUCAGACACAAAAUUAAACACUGUACAUUUUAUUGUACAGUAGCCUUUUACUUUUUUUUUUACAGUUGGAAGGCAGUGUUUGCAAAAAUGUCUGUAUUUUAUGGCUGUUUUGUCCAUCUUUUCCGUGAGUUAUAAGGACAUUUGAAUAGCUCAGAUUGCAGCUUCCCCAGUGGAAAAAUCUUCUGCUUUUCUCUGUUUUAUAUUAUUGUAAACUGAAUAUGUUUGGGUUUUGGACAAUUGGUUGGACAAAAGAAAAUAUUUGAAGAGCAAAAACAAUUAUUUGAAAGAAUAGUUUACAGAGGAAUUGAUAAUGGGAAUAAUACUUUGUUGCAGUCCUAGGUUAAUUCCCAAACUUUCUGAAAACGCCCAGAGUGUUUGUUUGACUUGAGCUUUGAUAAACCUCGACAGUGCUUUUGGAACAGCAUAUAGUAAAGACAAUUCACCGGUUUUAUCCAGAGUUUUCAGCUGCUUGUCACACUCUUGAAUUGAUUGAGCUGGUUCAGUUGUUUUAGACUUGACUUCUCCGUUAUAGAAGUAAAGUCGAGCACAUUAUAAAACAACCCACGUUGACCAAUGUGCAGUACAGACCAGAGAAGGGAAGCUUACACAACACACUAGUUUGGUCAUUAUUCAAAGAAGGCGUUGGAUGUGAAUGUCGAUGACCUUUGAUUCCUUCCAUGUUGAUGCUGUGAAUGGUUAUGGUCUGUUGUUCACAGACUGGUCAUGACCCGGUCAGACUAUGAGGUUGACUGACAGCUCUGAAUACCAAAGAUGGUGUGUUUAAUGCAAAGAAAAGACAUAAAAAUAGCUGAAAGAUAAUCUAAGCGUUCAGAGGUAUUUCUAAUCAACCCCACAGAUCCCAAAACCUUUAUUCACAUAAUUCAAUAUUUUUCAUUAAAACGUUAUUACAGCUUACCAGAACGAUGGACAUAACUAUCAAAAUAAGAUUCAGACUAAAAUAAACAAAAGGUUAUUUUUUGUAGACGUCAUCAGAGAUUCUGGACAUUUCUCCUGAAUGCAGAAAAUGGAUUGUAGUUUGCUUUUUGCACUUGCUGAGGGCAUUUAAUUCAUCUUAAUGCUAACAGAAGAAGAACUACAGUGUUUCCUGUAUAUAGAAUUAAUUUGGGCGGCCCUCCUAAAAACUUCUUUUGUACUUUUCUAUUUAUUUAUUUAUUUAAAAUCUGUUACAUUGCUGCAUUCAUGUGCUAAUGUAUAAAUUGGACAAAUAAAGUUCAUAGUCAGAAAUGUACUCAUUUUAAAUAUUCCCUUCAUUCCUUGUUGCCUUCCCUCUUUCUUCACUUCCUUCCUUUUUCUAUAAUCUGCAGUCAUAUAGAUUGGAUCAUAAACUCAGCCUGUUUUGCAGAUUUCUGAGUUUUGACAGCCGCAAAUAAACUGCUAGCUGGUGAGCAACUGAGCUGUAAAGAAUGUUUUUAUGCAUCUGUUCAACGUGAAUCUACACAUGGUUUAAGAGCCUUGUGGCCUUUAACUACUGGACUCAGUAUAUUAUAUAGAAUAGUGAUACAAACCGCACACGUGUUGUAUUUGUCAUGGUCUUUUGUUGCUGUUUAAAGUUACUCAGACCAACUUGUCCUGCUGAAAACACCUCUAUUAUUAAUAACGUUUUUUUUUUUCUUUGUUGUUUAUCCUGUACACACGACAUCUAUUGCACGUCUGUCUGUCCUGGGAGAGGGAUCCCUCCUCAGUUGCUCUCCCUGAGGUUUCUUCCAUUUUUUCCCCUUUAAUUUUGGGGUUUCUUUUAGGAAGUCUUUCCUUCUGCGAUGCGAGGGUCUAAGGACAGAGGAUGUCGUAACCUGUACAGUCUGUAAAGCACACUGAGACAAAUGUAUAAUUUGUGAUAUUGGGCUAUACAAAUAAAUUUGAUUUGAUUUGAUUUGACAAACCAAUUUUGUGUUGGAAAUCAUCACAUCUUAACUUUUGU